AGAAGGGAAAUGAUAGAUGUCUACUGGGAGCUACCAGCUCCCGCUCCCAAAUUUUUUUUUUUUUUUUUUUUUUUUUGUUUCUGAAUGAUUAAUAAUGCA